rnacentral:rRNA from 1 species
UACCAGCACCCCGAGUGGUCGGGACGUUUAUUGGGCCUAAAGCAUCCGUAGCCGGUUCUACAAGUCUUCCGUUAAAUCCAGCUGCUUAACAGAUGGGCUGCGGAAGAUACUAUGGAGCUAGGAGGCGGGGAGAGGCAAGCGGUACUCGAUGGGUAGGGGGUAAAAAUCCGUUGAUCCAUUGAAGACCACCAGUGGCGAAGGCGGCUUGCCAGAACGCGCUCGACGGUGAGGGAUGAAAGCUGGGGGGAGCAAACCGG